rnacentral:rRNA from 1 species
UACGAAAAGGAUAAGCGUCAUUCAUAUUUAAUGGGUGUAAAGUGUAUGUAGAUGGCAUCAUAUAUUUAAACAAAAAAGAUUAAUAAUCUAAUAAAUUAUAAAUUAAAAUGAUUGCUUGAGUGAAAUGGAGGAAAGAGGAAUUUCAAAAGUAAGGAUGAAAUCUAUUGAUAUUUGAAGGAACUCUAAAGGCGAAGGCUUCUUUCUAAGUAAUCACUGACAUUGAGAUACGAAAGUUUGGGUAGCAAAGAGG